AUGAAUCAUGGACCUCUUCUAGAAUCAACAUUUGUUGCACAAGCAAGAAAUGACAUACCCCCUCCUAGGGUUACGACUGCUAUGUCAAGAGGUAGGGUUAGAAGAAGAGGAGUCACUGAAGACAUUCCAGAAGAUGUACCACAGUUAAGCAACCAAGCUGGAAUUUCAAGAGGAAGAAAGAGAAGAUCCACCGGAGCUGGUGGAGCAGCAGCUGGCAGGGGAGGCAGAGGAUCUGGAGAAGCAGCUGGUAGGGGAGGAAGAGGUUUUGGAGCUAGUGGAGCAUCUAGUAGGGGAGGCAGGGGAGCUAGGGGAGCGGCUGGCAGGAGAGGUAGAGGGUCUGUGCAGCAGACAAGCAACCAAGCAGCUGGAAGAGGAGCAGGGGAAGCAUAUACUAGACCAGGUGCUGGGUUCUGGAACCUUAUGUUUGGACCAAAUUCAGAGAGUUCCUAUGUGCAAGCAGAAGAGGAGCCAGUGACCCAAAAUGCACCAAAUGAAGAGUGGAUUGAUGAUUUCCAAACCUUGUAG
rnacentral:rRNA from 1 species